CUGGACCUGAAUCUGCGGAUCACCCGGGCCAGUGGUUGUCGGGCCUGAUAGAAGGGUCAAGGUUCAUUUUUGCCACUUGGAUGUCGGUUUCCCAGCACUUUCUAUGCCAAAGACUUUUUCUAUCACUGGGCAGAUUUAUUGGCAAUGAUCCAGCAGUGUGCACGCUGCUCUGCCCAGGAUCGUCCCUGGUUUCUGGGCACCAGCCACUCUCCCCAUUCCUGCCCCUCAGCACACCGAGAGCAGUGGAGGCCCCCACCCCCGGAACACCACCCUCGUGACCUCAGUGUCCCCCCUGGCUGGUAAGUACCCAUGCACAUUUCGGCGUCAGUGUUUUCAUAAUGUAUUUGUCUGAGCUGAAACAGGUCCUGCUGGCCCUGCGGUAGGAGUUGGGAAAGGUGCUCUAUUUGCUGAGUCUCAUAUUGAUAGAAGCCUUCCCUUGAAUGUCUAGUAAAUCGGACCAUCUGGUCCCGGAGACCUCUUUGUGGAAACGUUUGUUAAUAAAAUCGCAUUAUAAAGGCUGGGGAUGUUGUUCAGUGGUAGAGAAAUUGUCUAGUAUGUGCAAGGUCCUGGGUUCAAUCCAUAGCACCAAAAAUAAAUAAUAAAACUAUGGGCUCAGAUACUGUGCUCUUCCAAUCUUACCCUUUAUCUUGACUCACUCCCCGCCCCCGUCCUGGGGUGAGCCCAGGAGUGCUCCACAUCCCAGCCCUUCUUACAUUUGUGAUAAGGUUCCCCAAGUUGCCCAGGCUGGCCUACACCGUGGUCCUCCUGCCCCCCUCUGGAGGCGCUGGGAAUACAGGCGUGCCCCCCCCCACUGACUUCUUAGGUAACACCAAAGGUCUCCCCACCACCACCACCUUCCUUUCUGUAUCUUGGCUAGAAAUCACACUGUACCUUGAUCUUGUGUGACCAGCCAGGCUUGGACCUUCCCAGACCUGAUAAACAAGGUGUCUGACGUCGGGCUCUGAACUCCACCUCCUGGCCCCUGGCUGCAGACGCAGGUGGAGGACCCCUCUGCUGCUGUCCCCAGGAUGAGCUGCAGCACCAAGUUGCCCCCAAGCGUGCUGUGGACAGAUCCCCGGUGCCCAGUGCUGCUUGGGCCUCUCAACCAGCCCAUCUCGGGAGGCUUUGGGCAGUCCCUUAUGUAUAAUUCGAUGGUUUUCAUCACACUCACAGAGUUGUGCAACCAUGGAAUAAACUAAUGCUCAGCCGUGGCUGCCAGGAAACAGACCUCUCCUGCAGCUUAGGGGCGACGCCUUCUGCAGAGUCUAU
rnacentral:lncRNA from 1 species